GAUGAACGCUGGCGGUAUGCUUAACACAUGCAAGUCGAACGGUACCUUCGGGUAUAGUGGCGGACGGGUGAGUAACGCGUGAGAAUCUGUCUUCAGGUCGGGGACAACAGUUAGAAAUGACUGCUAAUACCGGAUGUGCCGUAAGGUGAAAGAUUUAUUGCCUGAAAAACGAGCUCGCGUCAGAUUAGCUAGUAGGUGGUGUAAGAGACUACCUAGGCUCCGAUCGGUAGCUGGUUUGAGAGGAUGAUCAGCAACACUGGGACUGAGACACGGCCCAGACUCCUACGGGAGGCAGCAGUGGGGAAUCUUAGACAAUGGGGGCAACCCUGAUCUAGCCAUGCCGCGUGGGUGAUGAA
rnacentral:rRNA from 1 species